AACCGGGCGUUAAGUUGCAGGGUAUAGACCCGAAACCCGGUGAUCUAGCCAUGGGCAGGUUGAAGGUUGGGUAACACUAACUGGAGGACCGAACCGACUAAUGUUGAAAAAUUAGCGGAUGACCUGUGGCUGGGGGUGAAAGGCCAAUCAAACCGGGAGAUAGCUGGUUCUCCCCGAAAGCUAUUUAGGUAGCGCCUCGUGAAUUCAUCUCCGGGGGUAGAGCACUGUUUCGGCUAGGGGGCCAUCCCGGCUUACCAACCCGAUGCAAACUGCGAAUACCGGAGAAUGUUAUCACGGGAGACACACGGCGGGUGCUAACGUCCGUCGUGAAGAGGGAAACAACCCAGACCGCCAGCUAAGGUCCCAAAGUCAUGGUUAAGUGGGAAACGAUGUGGGAAGGCCCAGACAGCCAGGAUGUUGGCUUAGAAGCAGCCAUCAUUUAAAGAAAGCGUAAUAGCUCACUGGUCGAGUCGGCCUGCGCGGAAGAUGUAACGGGGCUAAACCAUGCACCGAAGCUGCGGCAGCGACACUGUGUGUUGUUGGGUA
rnacentral:rRNA from 1 species